rnacentral:rRNA from 1 species
GACGUUAGCGACAGAAGAAGCACCGGCUAACUCCGUGCCAGCAGCCGCGGUAAUACGGAGGGUGCGAGCGUUAAUCGGAAUUACUGGGCGUAAAGCGCAUGCAGGUGGUUUGUUUAAGUCAGAUGUGAAAGGACCCGGGGCGUCAACCUACGGAAUAGCAUUUAGUAAACUGGCAGACUAGAGUACUGUAGAGGGGGGUAGGAAUUUCAGGUGUAGCGGUGAAAUGCGUAGAGAUCUGAAGGAAUACCGGUGGCGAAGGCGGCCCCCUGGACAGAUACUGACACUCAGAUGCGAAAGCGUGGGGAGCAAACAGGAUUAGAUACCCUGGUAG